GAUGAACGCUGACAGAAUGCUUAACACAUGCAAGUCAACUUGAACUUCGGUUUGGGUGGCGGACGGGUGAGUAACGCGUAAAGAACUUGCCUCACAGUUAGGGACAACAUUUGGAAACGAAUGCUAAUACCUGAUAUUAUGAUUUUAGGGCAUCCUAGAAUUAUGAAAGCUAUAUGCGCUGUGAGAGAGCUUUGCGUCCCAUUAGCUAGUUGGAGAGGUAACGGCUCACCAAGGCGAUGAUGGGUAGCCGGCCUGAGAGGGUGAACGGCCACAAGGGGACUGAGACACGGCCCGUACGCCUACGGGAGGCAGCAGUGGGGAAUAUUGGACAAUGGACCAAGAGUCUGGUCAAGCAAUUCUGUGUGCACGAUGAAGUUUUUCGGAAUGUAAAGUGCUUUCAGUUGGGAAGAAAAAAAUGACGGUACCAACAGAAGAAGUGACGGCUAAAUACGUG
rnacentral:rRNA from 1 species